GUCCGCGUAGCACAGUGGUAGUGCGCUUGACUACGAUUAAUUAAAACUGGCGUAUCAAGAGGUCGUGGUUUCGAGCACCACCGUGGAUU
rnacentral:tRNA from 1 species